UUAACACUUUCAUUACCGCUACGAUUUUCACGAUGUUUUCUCGGGAGCCGCCUACAUUUUACGUUGGACUCGCUAGGUGAGUCGCCGGCGCUGCGAUACGAAUCAUUCGACUCGCCACGCGAGUUCAGUGGCAUUGCGUUAGGGUAAAAACUAUGUUCUGUUAUUUUUGUGGCCGUGACAGUGUACGUUACGUGUUUAAAGCAAUUAACUAGUAUAUGGUGUAAUUUAACAAAAAGAAAAUGGCAAGAAACACUAUAAAUAAACGAAAAGGCCACCACAAAACACAAUAACAUAGAACACAAGAAUCUCAAAGUCCAGAAAACGUUUGCCAGGGGUUAAAACAGUAGGUACUCCAACAGGUCCAGUAAUCGAAAGCCAAGUCACAAUGAUAGAAAACAAAUAUACGCGUGCGAUAAGGAAAGGGUCGUGCUUAACACUAAUCUAUAUAUAAAGAAAGUCGGGUUUGUUACAACACUUCACUCGAGAUUGACCAAUGAGAGCUUGGCAAAAACAAUGUUAUCAGUGCUUUUAUUGCUUACUAACCAGAGCGUUCAUGUUAAAAAAUACCGGUUCCUUUUGUUUUGCCGGCAAUUUUUAACAAUGCGAAGGGAUCCUCUUUCAGUUGUAACUCUUAAAGUAAUAGACCGAGAGUUGAGUUUGUGUUUUCUGCACCGUUCGUUUAACAAAAACGCAAGGACAGACUCAAAAACUUAGAAGUACCCAUUUGGUGAACACCAAAUUCGAGCCCCUACAAGGUGUCGAACACAAUCCGCCGUUGUUUUACGAGUGAAUGUGACUUUUGGUAAAAUGAAAAUAAAAGUAUCUACCUUU
rnacentral:lncRNA from 1 species